rnacentral:tRNA from 1 species
GCCUCGUUAGUAUAGUGGUCAGUAUCCCCGCCUGUCACGCUGAGUCCUGGGUUCAAUUUCGACGGGAGGCA